AGAGUUGAUCAUGGCUCAGGAUGAACGCUGGCGGCGUGCUUAACACAUGCAAGUUGUGCGGUGAUCUCAAGAAGUUUCGGACGGAAAGGGAGAGCAGCAGCGGACGGGUGAGUAAAGCACAAGGACUUGUCCCGAAGAGGGGGACAACUGUGGGAAACCACAGCUAAUACCCCAUAAGCCGAGAGGUGAAAGCAGUAAUGCGCUUUAGGAGAGACUUGUGUCCUAUCAGGUAGUUGGUGAGGUAACGGCUCACCAAGCCGAAGACGGGUAGCCGGACUGAGAGGUUGUACGGCCACAUUGGAACUGAGAGACGGUCCAGACUCCUACGGGAGGCAGCAGUGGGGAAUAUUGGGCAAUGGGGGCAACCCUGACCCAGCGACGCCGCGUGAGGGAAGACAGCCUUCGGGUUGUAAACCUCUGUUGCAGGGGAAGAAGAAAGUGACGGUACCCUGCGAGGAAGCUCCGGCAAACUACGUGCCAGCCGCCGC
rnacentral:rRNA from 1 species